GACGAACGCUGGCGGCGUGCCUAAUACAUGCAAGUCGAGCGCUGGAUGAUUUCCUUCGGGGAAUUAUCCGGAGCGGCGGACGGGUGAGUAACACGUAGGCAACCUGCCCGGAAGACCGGGAUAACUACCGGAAACGGUAGCUAAUACCGGAUAGGUGGCUUCUUCGCAUGGGGGAGCCAAGAAACGCGGAGCAAUCUGCGGCUUACGGAUGGGCCUGCGGCGCAUUAGCUAGUUGGCAGGGUAACGGCCUACCAAGGCGACGAUGCGUAGCCGACCUGAGAGGUGAUCGGCCACACUGGGACUGAGACACGGCCCAGACUCCUACGGGUGGCUG
rnacentral:rRNA from 1 species